rnacentral:rRNA from 1 species
CUACGGGCGGCUGCAGUGGGGAAUAUUGGACAAUGGGGGAAACCCUGAUCCAGCAAUGCCGCGUGUGUGAAGAAGGCCUGCGGGUUGUAAAGCACUUUCGGUUGGGAGGACUGCUUCUAGCACUAAUAUUGUUGGAAGUUGACGUUACCUUCAGAAGAAGCACCGGCUAACUCCGUGCCAGCAGCCGCGGUAAUACGGAGGGUGCAAGCGUUAAUCGGAAUUACUGGGCGUAAAGCGCGCGUAGGCGGCUAGAUCAGUCGGGUGUGAAAGCCCCGGGCUUAACCUGGGAACUGCAUCCGAUACUGUAUAGCUUGAGUACAGGAGAGGAGAGUGGAAUUCCACAUGUAGCGGUGAAAUGCGUAGAUAUGUGGAGGAACACCAAUGGCGAAGGCAGCUCUCUGGCCUGAUACUGACGCUGAGGUGCGAGAGCGUGGGGAGCAAACAGGAUUAGAUACCCCCGUAGUC